GAAGACUUGUGUACGGAAAUGGAAUAACGGAAGCUCCACCGAGUGAUAAAAGCCAAAGAACUGCUGCAGCGACACUACGAGGCAGAUUGGUGUCAGAAUACACCUGUCUGUCCAUCCAGGAUUCCCUCCUCUGCCCGCGGAUACAGACAGACCAACAAUAAUGAUAUCAAACUUUCCACGGACAGAUGAGAUUGGGAGAAGUCACAAAUGUCUGCACCCAGGAUAAAUGAGGAUGAGCCCUGGAGAAAGGAGGAGCAGAGUUUACCGGUCUUCCCCCCACACCUGAGCACUACAGGCAGAUACUGACACCUAGACUCCAGAUGUGGAGCAUGCUCACUUCACUCUGAUUGACCAAGUCAUCAUCAUGUGCCCGUUUCAACCCCGCUCCUGUUAAACUCCCCUGUUCUGUUACAUUCAGGUACAUCAGUCACUGAACCCACCUAUGGGGAAAGAGACAAAGAAGGACUGUGUAGGUAGGGUUGAAUUAGGGUUUGUUGUUGUGGUUUUCAGGAUAGGUCUAGUGUGAAGAUGGAUGUGUGAGAUGUUUAGCCCUGUGUGUGUGUGUGGCCCCUUUUCUGAACCACCAGUAAGACACCCUAUUUCCUGAUGCCAGGGCUGGAUCCCUGGGGCCGUCAAAAGCAGUUUCCUGGAACUAGAGGAUUUUGAGCCGGAUCAGUCUCCCUCUCCUGGCUAGACACCAUGGCAGCAGCACUGUUGUUAAGGUGGAGGAACUCACCCGUCCCACUGAAUGAGUCCCCUAUGCCUUUGUUUUAAACAUAAAGGGGAAAUUAUAUGUUAUUAAAUCACUUAUAUUUAAUGCACUGAACGAUCCUUCUCAGGCAAAAUAAUACAUUAUAACUCUACAAUCAUAACCCCGGAGAGACAAAAUGAAGAGCCCAAUUAUGAUGAGCUAAAUUGCUUCAGGGCAACGAUGUUUGGAUACCAGUCAUUUUUUGGAAGGCAACUGAUCUUCUCAUUCUCCUGAGGGAAAUUAUCAGUUUGUCUUUGAAGCCGUGAUGAAAGGUUGAAUGAAAGCAGGUGAGUACCUGUCAAAAAAGAGAGGGAGAAUUCAUAAGGUCUCUCUCUAUGGGGACCAGGGAGAGGGGUUCGACUGGCAUUUGUUUCUGCUCUUUGGCUGUACUGGAGCACAGCGGUGUGUGGAGGUGAGAGGGGUGUGCCCACCCAGAGAGAGGAGAAGGUGAAAUGACUGCCCUGACGAUACUGGUGAGUCUCUCUCGCCUCUCUCAUUCUCUCUCUCCCCUUCUCUCUCCUUCCCCCCCUCUACCUGCUGCCUUUCUGGCCUGGAUCAUGCAGCUGUCAGCCUCACACACACACACACACACAGCCCUGUGGCCAUACCACCUAGGAGUGGUGACACCUAGACCCCGGAGCAUGUGCUGUCUCGGUGAGGAUGAGAGAUCAUGUGCACCCCCAUGACUGGAUGACAUGCCGUCUACCUGCACUCUGCUCUCCCAGGGAGAAAAGGUAAACAGCAACAUGGCACAGAGAGGAGCACAACAUAGCACCUCACCGGGCUUCCCCUGCYUGCCAGUAGCAUUACACAGAGUGACAGCUUCCUACCCACAGUCAUGCACCGGGGUUUAAUCACACUCUCAUCAUCAAGUCAUAUGUGUCAAUGAGUCUUAAAAUGUGGUUUUGAGGAAGUCAAAAGAAAGAUAGAUGAUAGAUUGAUGAAUACUUUAAUUGUGAUACUGAAAUGAAUGAAUUGGGGAAUUGGUUCUAUGAUGAAAAUGUAGAUAUCGCAACUAACAUUUUUAUGUGUCCACAUAUUUGAUUAUUAUCCAAUAAUUUAGGUUUGAUUUUACAGAUGUAGGAUCUUAAUUUGAUCACUCUUUUGUUACUGAGAAUUUUCCCACACAGCAGG